rnacentral:rRNA from 1 species
AUUGAACGCUGGCGGCAUGCUUUACACAUGCAAGUCGAACGGCAGCGCGGGCUUCGGCCUGGCGGCGAGUGGCGAACGGGUGAGUAAUGCAUCGGAACGUGCCCAGUAGUGGGGGAUAGCCCGGCGAAAGCCGGAUUAAUACCGCAUACGACCUGAGGGUGAAAGCGGGGGACCGAAAGGCCUCGCGCUAUUGGAGCGGCCGAUGUCGGAUUAGCUAGUUGGUGGGGUAAAGGCUUACCAAGGCAACGAUCCGUAGCUGGUCUGAGAGGACGACCAGCCACACUGGGACUGAGACACGGCCCAGACUCCUACGGGAGGCAGCAGUGGGGAAUUUUGGACAAUGGGGGCAACCCUGAUCCAGCCAUGCCGCGUGCGGGAAGAAGGCCUUCGGGUUGUAAACCGCAUUUGUUCGGGAAGAAAUCCUCUGGGCUAAUACCCCGGGGGGAUGACGGUACCGGAAGAAUAAGCACCGGCUAACUACGUG